GCCUGGAUAGCUCAGUUGGGAGAGCAUCAGACUUUUAAUCUGAGGGUCCAGGGUUCAAGCCCCUGUUCUAGGUG